rnacentral:sRNA from 1 species
CUCAUCCUCAUCUCCUAGCAUGUCUGGCAAUUUUGAUUUCUGAACUCUGUGCUACCUCAGAGGCCAGCUUCCUUAGGGAAAAAUCAGUGCUGAAAUAGUUAUAUUUCCUUUUCUGCUCUAAAUAUAUAGUGGGGGAAUAAGAGAAAUGAAGAGGAAUUCCUGAGAACGUAAUUACUAGAAACUCCCCUCUCCCACGUAAUGCCUCUCACACACCAUGGACACCUAUUCCCCCAAUUUGCGACCCCCCACCCCACCCCACAACAGGUGGUGAUCUUUGUGAAGUCUGUGCAGCGGUGCAUUGCCUUGGCCCAGCUACUAGUGGAGCAGAACUUCCCAGCCAUUGCCAUCCACCGUGGGAUGCCGCAGGAGGAGAGUUUAAAGAUUUUCAACGACGAAUUCUUGUGGCUACCAACCUAUUUGGCCGAGGCAUGGACAUC